GGAGUUGUGCCUGAAAUAAAGGGCCACUUUGAUAGAGUGACUUAUGGGGGUUAAAGUCCCCUCAACUCCU
rnacentral:tRNA from 1 species